rnacentral:rRNA from 1 species
AAAGCGUGCGCAGGCGGUUUUGUAAGUCAGAUGUGAAAUCCCCGAGCUCAACUUGGGAACUGCGUUUGAAACUACAAGACUAGAAUAUGUCAGAGGGGGGUAGAAUUCCACGUGUAGCAGUGAAAUGCGUAGAGAUGUGGAGGAAUACCAAUGGCGAAGGCAGCCCCCUGGGAUAAUAUUGACGCUCAUGCACGAAAGCGUGGGGAGCAAACAGGAUUAGAUGCCCUGGUAGUCCACGCCCUAAACGAUGUCUACUAGUUGUUGGUGGAGUAAAAUCCAUGAGUAACGCAGCUAACGCGUGAAGUAGACCGCCUGGGGAGUACGGUCGCAAGAUUAAAACUCAAAUGAAUUGACGGGGGCCCGCACAAGCGGUGGAUUAUGUGGAUUAAUUCGAUGCAACGCGAAAAACCUUACCUGGCCUUGACAUGUAACGAACUUUCCAGAGAUGGAUUGGUGCUCGAAAGAGAGCGUUAACACAGGUGCUGCAUGGCUGUCGUCAGCUCGUGUCGUGAGAUGUUGGGUUAAGUCCCGCAACGAGCGCAACCCUUGCCAUUAAUUGCCAUCAUUUAGUUGGGCACUUUAAUGGGACUGCCGGUGACAAACCGGAGGAAGGUGGGGAUGACGUCAAGUCCUCAUGGCCCUUAUGGCCAGGGCUUCACACGUAAUACAAUGGUCGGUACAGAGGGUUGCCAAGCCGCGAGGUGGAGCCAAUCCUCAGAAAGCCGAUCGUAGUCCGGAUUGUAGUCUGCAACUCGACUACAUGAAGUCGGAA